rnacentral:rRNA from 1 species
AGAGUUUGAUCCUGGCUCAGGAUGAACGCUAGCGGCAGGCUUAACACAUGCAAGUCGAGGGGCAGCGGGGAGGAAGCUUGCUUUCUCCGCCGGCGACCGGCGCACGGGUGAGUAACACGUAUGCAACCUGCCCCUGUCAGGGGGACAACCCGCCGAAAGGCGGGCUAAACCCGCGUACAUGCCACCGGGGCAUCCCGGAGGCAGGAGAGGCUUCGGCCGGACAGGGAUGGGCAUGCGGCGCAUUAGGCAGUAGGCGGGGUAACGGCCCACCUAACCGACGAUGCGUAGGGGUUCUGAGAGGAAGGUCCCCCACACUGGUACUGAGACACGGACCAGACUCCUACGGGAGGCAGCAGUGAGGAAUAUUGGUCAAUGGUCGGGAGACUGAACCAGCCAAGCCGCGUGAGGGAGGAAGGUACAGAGUAUCGUAAACCUCUUUUGUCAGGGAACAAAGGCGGGGACGUGUCCCCGGAUGAGUGUACCUGAAGAAAAAGCAUCGGCUAACUCCGUGCCAGCAGCCGCGGUAAUACGGAGGAUGCGAGCGUUAUCCGGAUUUAUUGGGUUUAAAGGGUGCGCAGGCGGUCUGUUAAGUCAGCGGUCAAAGCCCGGGGCUCAACCCCGGCCCGCCGUUGAAACUGGCAGUCUCGAGUUGGAGAGAAGUAUGCGGAAUGCGCGGUGUAGCGGUGAAAUGCAUAGAUAUCGCGCAGAACUCCGAUUGCGAAGGCAGCAUGCCGGCUCCACACUGACGCUGAGGCACGAAAGCGUGGGUAUCGAACAGGAUUAGAUACCCUGGUAGUCCACGCAGUAAACGAUGAAUGCUGGCUGUCCGGGGGGAUUGACCCCUGGGUGGCGAAGCGAAAGCGAUAAGCAUUCCACCUGGGGAGUACGCCGGCAACGGUGAAACUCAAAGGAAUUGACGGGGGCCCGCACAAGCGGAGGAACAUGUGGUUUAAUUCGAUGAUACGCGAGGAACCUUACCCGGGCUCAAACGGGGAGUGACUCAGGCAGAGACGCCUGUUUCCCACGGGACACUCCCCGAGGUGCUGCAUGGUUGUCGUCAGCUCGUGCCGUGAGGUGUCGGCUUAAGUGCCAUAACGAGCGCAACCCCCGCGUGCAGUUGCUAACAGAUAACGCUGAGGACUCUGCACGGACUGCCGGCGCAAGCCGCGAGGAAGGCGGGGAUGACGUCAAAUCAGCACGGCCCUUACGUCCGGGGCGACACACGUGUUACAAUGGGUGGUACAGCGGGAAGCCAGGCGGCGACGCCGAGCGGAACCCGAAAUCCACUCUCAGUUCGGAUCGGAGUCUGCAACCCGACUCCGUGAAGCUGGAUUCGCUAGUAAUCGCGCAUCAGCCAUGGCGCGGUGAAUACGAACGCGGGCCUUGCACUCACCGCCCGUCAAG